CCUACGGGAGGCAGCAGUGAGGAAUAUUGGUCAAUGGGCGCGAGCCUGAACCAGCCAAGUCGCGUGAGGGAAGACGGUCCUAUGGAUUGUAAACCUCUUUUGUCGGGGAGCAAAAGACGCCACGCGUGGCGGUCCGAGAGUACCCGAAGAAAAAGCAUCGGCUAACUCCGUGCCAGCAGCCGCGGUACUAAGGAGGAUGCGAGCGUUAUCCGGAUUUAUUGGGUUUAAAGGGUGCGCAGGCGGAAGAUUAAGUCAGCGGUAAAAUUGAGAGGCUCAACCCCUUCGGGCCGUUGAAACUGGUUUUCUUGAGUGAGCGAGAAGAAGGCGGAAUGCGUGGUGUAGCGGUGAAAUGCAUAGAUAUCACGCAGAACCCCGAUUGCGAAGGCAGCCGUCCGGCGCUCAACUGACGCUGAUGCACGAAAGUGUGGGUAUCGAACAGGAUUAGAUACCCUAGUAGUC
rnacentral:rRNA from 1 species